GAGGGCACUGUCCUGAGGCAAGAGGCCACAGCCAGGGCCACAGAAAUAUUUGCAUUUCCUGUUCACGAUGAAUAAUGCCGGCCAGAGGAACCACGUCGUCGAAUAGAAUCACCGAUCCACGGAAUUUUCGCCUGAUAUCGUUGCACACGUGCCUGCUGGAUAGAACUAUUAGGAAAUUCUCCUUCACAAAUUGGAAAACUAAGCUACUCUUUUGUAAACUGAUCACUGUCGUUCAAUCUGAAUUUAUUCAAAAAUUAAUUUUAUCUUGGCAAAAAUAAUUACUUGUUAACAUUGGAACUACCGAUCACUUAAACUGACUUCUACCAAUUUCUGUAUGAAAACCAUACGCGUGCGUUUAUUAAAACAAUUGAGUUGUAUUUCAGUUUUGCUGUUACUGAAUUAGUUAAUAAUUUCUCGUAGAAGUGUCCUCAGUAAUUGUGAAAGGAGAAAUCAGAAAUAAGUCAUUUUGACCCAUCUGGUAGUCCUAGUGUUAAUCUAAUAAAAUAAUAUAUAAUAUAGUAUACAAUAUAACAUAAGAUAUAAUUAUCACAUAAACAAAUGUUCCAAACGAAAGUUGUCCAAUAUUAUUAUUAUUAUUAUUAAUACCAAACAACUUUUGCUUGGAACAUUUGUCUACCUAAUAAAUAAAUGAUGGUAGAAUUGAACGAUUCACGAGUAGUGCAAUUGUUUGAAAUGAAUAUAAAAUGUGCAAUAUAUAUAAUAGAAGAGUCUAACUCAUCGGAUGUACUCGAAGGAUUAAGAAGCAGCAAAGUUGAUGUUCAUCUGUAAAUCAGGAUAUCAGGAAGUCACCGGAACUCGUCAUGGGAUCUUUCGUGUUUCCCAAGUAGCUUCUCCCUCCCGCGUUUGCGUCUCCAAGGGUGAUUUCAGUGGGGUUGGGAAAGAAAGAAGAAGUAGGAGGGAGAAGAAAUGUUUAUGGAAACAGCUGUUCUUCCUGGCCUGGGGUUGUUGACCAUGUACACCUCCCCAUUUACGUAGGAGCCUUUAUGGGGGCACUCUUGAUCCCCAGAAAUAAUUCCGUGAAGAAUAGAGAAUCGUCUGAGCUGAUCCGCCAAGAGAAUAGGCCAGCAGAGGGGCAAGAGAGUCGCAGGAGGAAAGCUGAAUGGCGUAACGGGCCGGCUACCCAGAGAAAAACGGAGCGCACACUUGUUCCCGGACAAAAAAUCACGUAGAAACAUCUGGAGGUUCGAAACGGUCCUAUGGUGACCCAUGUAAAAACUGUUUGUGUAGCGUAUACGCGUGGGAGCACGAUUUUGCGUCCAUCUACACCGUGUCCACCACGAACGCGCUGCAACUGUGCAACAAUCGGUCCAACGUGAUCUUUAACCUUGCCCUAUGACUUCUGUCUGAACCGUGAUCGAUCUAGCUACUUUGUUAUUAACAAUUUAUUGAAUAUAAGAGAGAAUUCCAGUGUUAUUCUACGUCAACGUAUGCUGUGAGGUUUAAUCAUUGAUAAGAAAGAAAUAAUAUGUGAUCUGCAUUCAUACAAAUUGAGUAAUAUGUGUGUUUAGUAAAUUCUAUUUGAAAUCUUCAUGAGUCUAACAGGAUAUUGUAGGUCAAGGGGUUAAGUAGAUACGGAGUGUAUAUAAAAAUGUCCAAUUUAUUUGUAUAAAUAGUACACAGAUUAACCACUUAAUCAGAUCUUACACAAAGCUAACAAAUUUUCGUACAGAAUAUCGAUUCGUGACGGACCUCGACAGUCUUAAGAAUUCACAGCUGAGCAAUACGUUUAAAGUUACCUUAACCCUUUGCUGUCAGACGGUACUUCAAAUUCACCGUUAUCAUUCAAAUGGUAUUGCGAGUUUCAUUUAACCCUCCGCCAGCAAUAUGUUAUACGUAGGCUUGAUUGUUUAUAGUUUUUGGAAAAUCUGGAAACAUUCUGACGUACUGAUAGUCUCUAAUUUAACACGUUGACUGCCACGAGAAUUUCUAGCGUUCCGAAUAGUAAUACUUAUUCUUUGAUAACUAAUAAUAUUGAAAAUCAAUGAUUAUUACAGUAAUCGUAUUACGUUAUGAUCUAGCUACUUAUGUUAUUAAAUAUUUUUAUUUAAAAUCAAGUGUUAUUAUAAUUGUUCUUCAACAAUUUAGAAGCUCCGGUCAUCGGUGACCGUUGCAGUCAACGCGUUAAUAUAAACGAUUUAGCCUUUUCAUGUCAUUUUGCAACAGAACAAUCCUGAUGAAGUCACAGAGCAAUUAGAUUUUCGACCUUGGUCCAUAUUGCCAGCGGAGGGUUAAUUGUAAUCUUACUUUACGUUCUAAUUAUAAAAAGUAUUUAUAGUUAACACGCAUGUUACUUGAACGGUCUUGAAAUACCUCGAGUAAAGAUGUCGCCGACAGAUAAUAAUCUCGUUGAACGCGUAAAGGGUUAAUAUUCUAUAGUAACGGUCUUAGUCUUCAAGUACUCAUUCAGAGCUUCCUGUCCCAGGUCUUUGCCGAAGCCGGACAUCUUGAAGCCGCCGAACGGCGCGGCGACGUCCGUCUUGUUAUACGUGUUGAUGAACACCGUUCCAGCUUCGAUUUUCUCAGCGAAUCGGAGAGCUCUGCUGAUGUCCUUAGUGAGGACACCGGAAGCUAGCCCGUACUCCGUGUCGUUCGCUCUCCUGAUCAUCUCGUCCAUGUUCUUCGAGCUGAAUUUUGAGAUCACCAUGACUGGUCCGAAGGAUUCUUCUUUAGCGAUGUACAUGUCGUCCUUGACGUCUGUGAAUAUAGUUGGCUCGAAGUACCAGCCUGGACGGUCCACUCUCUUGCCACCGUAAACCAAGGUAGCUCCUUCCUUGACACCACGCCGGACAAAAUCGAGGAGCUUGUUCAGAUGAGCCUUGUGAUUCUGUGGACCAUGACUCGUACUCCUGUCCAAUGGGUCGCCAACAGAAAUCUUCUUAGUCUCUGCGACUACUCUCUUCAAGAACUCGUCGUGUAUGGUCUCCUCGACGAAUAGACGACCUGUUUCACAGAAGACAUCAGUGCUUCCUUAGACUACAUUUAACACUAAAACUACCGAGCACUUCAAUCGACUUUUGAAAAUUUCGCUAUAGAAACUCCAAGAGUGCAUCUGU